rnacentral:rRNA from 1 species
UACAGAGGUGGCAAGCGUUGUUCGGAAUUACUGGGCGUAAAGCGCGUGUAGGCGGCUCUUCAAGUCAGGCGUGAAAGCCCCGGGCUCAACCCGGGAACUGCGCUUGAUACUGUCGAGCUAGAGUGUGGAAGGGGCGAUUGGAAUUCCGUGUGUAGCGGUGAAAUGCGUAGAUAUACGGAGGAACACCAGAGGCGAAGGCGGAUCGCUGGGCCAACACUGACGCUGAGGCGCGAAAGCGUGGGGAGCGAACAGG